UCGUCAGCUCGUAUCGUGAGAUGUUGGGUUAAGUCCCGCAACGAGCGCAACCCUUGGUACUAGUUGCCAGCAUUAAGUUGGGCACUGUAGUGAGACUGCCGGUGACAAACCGGAGGAAGGUGGGGACGACGUCAGAUCAUCAUGCCCCUUAUGACCUGGGCUACACACGUGCUACAAUGGACGGUACAACGAGUCGCAAGCUCGCGAGAGUAAGCUAAUCUCUUAAAGCCGUUCUCAGUUCGGACUGUAGGCUGCAACUCGCCUACACGAAGUCGGAAUCGCUAGUAAUCGCGGAUCAGCAUGCCGCGGUGAAUACGUUCCCGGGCCUUGUACACACCGCCCGUCACACCAUGGGAGUUUGUAACGCCCAAAGUCGGUGGCCUAACCUUUAUGGAGGGAGCCGCCUAAGGCGGGACAGAUGACUGGGGUGAAGUCGUAACAAGGUAACCGUA
rnacentral:rRNA from 1 species